GUGAUCUAACAUUACCAGGAAAAUUGGAUAAUAAGAUUGAAAAAUUAUACAUAAUUAUAGCCUAUACUUACUACUACUCGGUCCUGAGAGCUUCUUAAUCUGGUGUGCAUUCCCAGUGGAGCUCUGACAAGCAAGAUACACUGGCUGGGAUACUGUGAAGUGCCAAUUGUCUGUUGUCAUCCACUCCUUUGUGACUGGAUGACGCAAAAUAAACUUGGACCUUGGGAAUAUACCUGAUAAGAAGAAAUACAAUAGGGCACAUGAAAUUUCCAAGAAAUGACUCUGACCACAACCAAUUUUUAUCAGAUUUCUUAUGCAUAUUGAUAAAAAAAUUUUGAGC